UACAGACAGUGCGAGCGUUAUUCGGAUUGAAUGGGCGUAAAAGGUAUGUAGGCGGUUCUAGGAAUUAGAUCAGAAAUUCUCGAGUCAUAACUGGAGGUAUUGUUCUAAAGAUUAAUGGACUUUGAGUUUGUAUUGAGUUGGGGGGAAUUUCUUGUGUCAACGGUUGAAUGUUAUUAUAUAAGAAGGACCAUCAAAGGUGAAGACAUCUUUCUAAUACAAACUGACGCUGAGGUACGGAGGCGUGGGGAUCAAACAGG
rnacentral:rRNA from 1 species